CAUACCUAUUCGAAGGGAUAGGGUCGGUUUGGCCGGAUUUCACACAGGUGUUGCAUGGCUGUCGUCAGCUCGUGUCGUGAGAUGUUGGGUUAAGUCCCGCAACGAGCGCAACCCUCAUCCUUAGUUACCAUCAGGUUAUGCUGGGGACUUUAAGGAAACUGUCAGUGAUAAACUGGAGGAAGGUGGGGAUGAUGUCAAGUCAUCAUGGCCCUUAUGGAGUGGGCUACACACGUGCUACAAUGGUGAUUACAAUGGGCUGCAAGGUCGCAAGGCUGAGCUAAUCCUAAAAAAUCAUCUCAGUUCGGAUUGUUCUCUGCAACUCGAGAGCAUGAAGUUGGAAUCGCUAGUAAUCGUGGAUCAGCAUGCCACGGUGAAUACGCUCUCGGGUCUUGUACACACUGCCCGUCACGCCAUGGGAAUUGGUUUCACUCGAAGCU
rnacentral:rRNA from 1 species